rnacentral:rRNA from 1 species
UCUCAUUGACGAGCGGCGGACGGGUGAGUAAUGUCUGGGAAACUGCCUGAUGGAGGGGGAUAACUACUGGAAACGGUAGCUAAUACCGCAUAACGUCUUCGGACCAAAGAGGGGGACCUUCGGGCCUCUUGCCAUCAGAUGUGCCCAGAUGGGAUUAGCUAGUAGGUGAGGUAAUGGCUCACCUAGGCGACGAUCCCUAGCUGGUCUGAGAGGAUGACCAGCCACACUGGAACUGAGACACGGUCCAGACUCCUACGGGAGGCAGCAGUGGGGAAUAUUGCACAAUGGGCGCAAGCCUGAUGCAGCCAUGCCGCGUGUGUGAAGAAGGCCUUCGGGUUGUAAAGCACUUUCAGCGGGGAGGAAGGCGGUGAGGUUAAUAACCUCAUCGAUUGACGUUACCCGCAGAAGAAGCACCGGCUAACUCCGUGCCAGCAGCCGCGGUAAUACGGAGGGUGCAAGCGUUAAUCGGAAUGACUGGGCGUAAAGCGCACGCAGGCGGUUUGUUAAGUCAGAUGUGAAAUCCCCGAGCUUAACUUGGGAACUGCAUUUGAAACUGGCAAGCUAGAGUCUUGUAGAGGGGGGUAGAAUUCCAGGUGUAGCGGUGAAAUGCGUAGAGACUGGAGGAAUACCGGUGGCGAAGGCGGCCCCCUGGACAAAGACUGACGCUCAGGUGCGAAAGCGUGGGGAGCAAACAGGAUGCU